GAGGGUAUAGCUCAGUGGUAGAGCAUGUGCUUAGCAUGCACGAGGUCCUGGGUUCAAUCCCCAGUCCCUCCA
rnacentral:tRNA from 1 species